rnacentral:miRNA from 1 species
GACUCACUUUGUGGACCAGGCUGGUCUUGAACUCCUGGCCUCAGAUGAUCCUUCUGCUUCAGCCUUCUAAAUGCUGGAA